rnacentral:rRNA from 1 species
UACGGAGGGUGCAAGCGUUAUCCGGAUUCACUGGGUUUAAAGGGUGCGUAGGAGGGCAGGUAAGUCCGUGGUGAAAUCUCCGAGCUUAACUCGGAAACUGCCGUGGAUACUACCGGUCUUGAGUAUCGUGGAGGUGAGCGGAAUAUGUCAUGUAGCGGUGAAAUGCUUAGAGAUGACAUAGAACACCCAUUGCGAAGGCAGCUCACUACCCGAACAUUGACUCUGAGGCACGAAAGCGUGGGGAGCAAACAGG